rnacentral:rRNA from 1 species
UGGGGAAUAUUGCACAAUGGGGGAAACCCUGAUGCAGCAACGCCGCGUGAGUGAUGACGGCCUUCGGGUUGUAAAGCUCUGUCUUCAGGGACGAUAAUGACGGUACCUGAGGAGGAAGCCACGGCUAACUACGUGCCAGCAGCCGCGGUAAUACGUAGGUGGCAAGCGUUGUCCGGAUUUACUGGGCGUAAAGGGAGCGUAGGAGGACUUUUAAGUGAGAUGUGAAAUACCCGGGCUCAACCUGGGUGCUGCAUUUCAAACUGGAAGUCUAGAGUACAGGAGAGGAGAGUGGAAUUCCUAGUGUAGCGGUGAAAUGCGUAGAGAUUAGGAAGAACACCAGUGGCGAAGGCGACUCUCUGAACUGUAACUGACGCUGAGGCUCGAAAGCGUGGGGAGCAAACA